UUAACACAUGCAAGUCGAGCGGAGAGAGGUAGCUUGCUACUGAUCUUAGCGGCGGACGGGUGAGUCUUGCUUAGGAAUCUGCCUAUUAGUGGGGGACAACAUUUCGAAAGGAAUGCUAAUACCGCAUACGUCCUACGGGAGAAAGCAGGGGAUCUUCGGACCUUGCGCUAAUAGAUGAGCCUAAGUCGGAUUAGCUAGUUGGUGGGGUAAAGGCCUACCAAGGCGACGAUCUGUAGCGGGUCUGAGAGGAUGAUCCGCCACACUGGGACUGAGACACGGCCCAGACUCCUACGGGAGGCAGCAGUGGGGAAUAUUGGACAAUGGGCGCAAGCCUGAUCCAGCCAUGCCGCGUGUGUGAAGAAGGCCUUAUGGUUGUAAAGCACUUUAAGCGAGGAGGAGGCUACUUUAGUUAAUACCUAGAGAUAGUGGACGUUACUCGCAGAAUAAGCACCGGCUAACUCUGUGCCAGCAGCCGCGGUAAUACAGAGGGUGCAAGCGUUAAUCGGAUUUACUGGGCGUAAAGCGCGCGUAGGCGGCUAAUUAAGUCAAAUGUGAAAUCCCCGAGCUUAACUUGGGAAUUGCAUUCGAUACUGGUUAGCUAGAGUGUGGGAGAGGAUGGUAGAAUUCCAGGUGUAGCGGUGAAAUGCGUAGAGAUCUGGAGGAAUACCGAUGGCGAAGGCAGCCAUCUGGCCUAACACUGACGCUGAGGUGCGAAAGCAUGGGGAGCAAACAGGAUUAGAUACCCUGGUAGU
rnacentral:rRNA from 1 species